rnacentral:sRNA from 1 species
UUUUCUAUGCUUCUCUUA